ACCAGACUCCUACGGGAGGCAGCAGUGGGGGAUAUUGCACAAUGGGGGGAACCCUGAUGCAGCGACGCCGCGUGGGUGAAGAAGCGCCUCGGCGCGUAAAGCCCUGUCAGCAGGGAAGAAAAUGACGGUACCUGAAGAAGAAGCCCCGGCUAACUACGUGCCAGCAGCCGCGGUAAUACGUAGGGGGCAAGCGUUAUCCGGAUUUACUGGGUGUAAAGGGGGCGCAGACGGCGAUGCAAGCCAGGAGUGAAAGCCCGGGGCCCAACCCCGGGACUGCUCUUGGAACUGCGUGGCUGGAGUGCAGGAGGGGCAGGCGGAAUUCCUGGUGUAGCGGUGAAAUGCGUAGAUAUCAGGAGGAACACCGGUGGCGAAGGCGGCCUGCUGGACUGUAACUGACGUUGAGGCUCGAAAGCGUGGGGAGCAAACAGGAUUAGAUACCCGGGUA
rnacentral:rRNA from 1 species